CCUCGGCUGUGGCCCUCGGGCCACAGGGGGGCCUCCUGCAGCUCCUCAUGGCUGCUCUCCUCCCUCAGG
rnacentral:miRNA from 1 species